rnacentral:rRNA from 1 species
GAUGAACGCUGGCGGCGUGCCUAAUACAUGCAAGUCGAGCGAACGGACGAGAAGCUUGCUUCUCUGAUGUUAGCGGCGGACGGGUGAGUAACACGUGGAUAACCUACCUAUAAGACUGGGAUAACUUCGGGAAACCGGAGCUAAUACCGGAUAAUAUUUUGAACCGCAUGGUUCAAAAGUGAAAGACGGUCUUGCUGUCACUUAUAGAUGGAUCCGCGCUGCAUUAGCUAGUUGGUAAGGUAACGGCUUACCAAGGCAACGAUGCAUAGCCGACCUGAGAGGGUGAUCGGCCACACUGGAACUGAGACACGGUCCAGACUCCUACGGGAGGCAGCAGUGGGGAAUCUUGGGCAAAGGGCGAAAGCCUGACGGAGCAACACCGCGUGAGUGAUGAAGGUCUUCGGGUCGUAAAGCUCUGUUAUUAGGAAAGAACAUAUGUGUAAGAAACUGUGCACAUCUUGACGGUACCUAAACAGAAAGCCACGGCUAACUACGUG